rnacentral:ncRNA from 2 species
CGAAUCACAGCGGGAGAUCUGGUCCGUUCCAGAGCCGUAGGAGCAAUCCUCCCCGGGAAUCUCUCAGGCUGCCGUACCGCUGUGACGAG